GUGUUCCUACGGGGGGCAGCAGUGGGGAAUAUUGCACAAUGGGGGAAACCCUGAUGCAGCGACGCCGCGUGAGUGAAGAAGCGUUUCGGCGCGUAAAGCUCUGUCAGCGGGGAAGAAACACGGUUCGCGAGAGCCGCGGACGGUACCCGACCAAGAAGCCCCGGCUAACUACGUGCCAGCAGCCGCGGUAAUACGUAGGGGGCAAGCGUUAUCCGGAUUUACUGGGUGUAAAGGGAGCGUAGACGGCGAUGCAAGUCUGAAGUGAAAGCCCGGGGCUCAACCCCGGGACUGCUUUGGAAACUGUA
rnacentral:rRNA from 1 species